CCCGUCCACCCCUUCGCAGAAAAAAGCCUUUAAAAGGCUUAGUCGUUUAUCGAAUAGCCUCAACGAUUGGCUUUCCCUUUUAAUUGCUUACCUACCCGGGUUUCCCUUUCAGAGACACCGCUAAAAUGAAAUGGUAUCCCCUUCCUAAUUCAAAAAAUUAUGACACCUGUGUUGUCAACGUGCUAGACACCCAGUCCUUCACUUUAAACAU